ACUAUGUUGGCAGAUAAGUGCAAUGAAUUUAGAAUUCAUGAAUAUAAUAUCAUAUUAUACUUAGUA
rnacentral:tRNA from 1 species